CAGCCGUAAACAAUGUGCGUUAGGUGUGUCGGUAACCACGCGUUACUGAUGCGCCGAAGAGAAAUCGUGAAACGCACCACCUGGGAAGUACGGUCGCAAGGCUGAAACUUAAAGGAAUUGGCGGGGGAGCACCACAACAGGUGGAGCCUGCGGUUUAAUUGGAUUCAACGCCGGACAUCUCACCGGAUAAGACAGCUGAAUGAUGGCCAGGUUGAUGACCUUGCUUGACAAGCUGAGAGGAGGUGCAUGGCGUAGUCGUGU
rnacentral:rRNA from 1 species